rnacentral:rRNA from 1 species
CCUACGGGAGGCAGCAGUGAGGAAUAUUGGUCAAUGGGCGCGAGCCUGAACCAGCCAAGUAGCGUGAAGGAUGACUGCCCUACGGGUUGUAAACUUCUUUUAUAAAGGAAUACAGUGAGGCACGUGUGCCUUUUUGUCUGUACUUUAUGAAUAAGGAUCGGCUAACUCCGUGCCAGCAGCCGCGGUAAUACGGAGGUUCCGAGCGUUUUCCGGAUUUAUUGGGUUUAAAGGGAGCGUAGAUGGGUUGUUAAGUCAGUUGUGAAAGUUUGCGGCUCAACCGUAAAAUUGCAAUUGAUACUGGCAGUCUUGAGUACAGUUGAGGUAGGCGGAAUUCGUGGUGUAGCGGUGAAAUGCUUAGAUAUCACGAAGAACUCCGAUGGCGAAGGCAGCCUACUAAACUGCCACUGACAUUGAUGCUCGAAAGUGUGGGUAUCAAACAGGAUUAGAUACCCGGGUAGUC